rnacentral:rRNA from 1 species
UGGGGAAUUUUGGACAAUGGGCGAAAGCCUGAUCCAGCAAUGCCGCGUGUGUGAAGAAGGCCUUCGGGUUGUAAAGCACUUUUGUCCGGAAAGAAAUGGCUCUGGUUAAUACCUGGGGUCGAUGACGGUACCGGAAGAAUAAGGACCGGCUAACUACGUGCCAUCAGCCGCGGUAAUACGUAGGGUCCAAGCGUUAAUCGGAAUUACUGGGCGUAAAGCGUGCGCAGGCGGUUGUGCAAGACCGAUGUGAAAUCCCCGAGCUUAACUUGGGAAUUGCAUUGGUGCCUGCACGGCUAGAGUGUGUCAGAGGGGGGUAGAAUUCCACGUGUAUCAGUGAAUUGCGUAGAGAUGUGGAGGAAUACCGAUGGCGAAGGCAGCCCCCUGGGAUAACACUGACGCUCAUGCACGAAAGCGUGGGGAGCAAACAGG